rnacentral:lncRNA from 1 species
GUUCAAACAGAGAUUUGAAAGCAGAGAAAACUGUGUAUCUUAUAAUCGACAUAACUUUAUCAGAUGACAAUAUCAAUUUCUAAAACAAGGCUUAAAUAUAUAUACCUUAAUUCAGUCACGGACCUGCGAUAUCACGGGUGUGUACUUGUAAUACUAAUAACGACGAUAAGAACCGUUAAGCGAUGAUGUCCGUUUAUUACUUUUAUAAUUAUCUUCUGUUAUCUGGACAACCUUAUUAGACGUUAUAUUAUGCAAUGCUUUAUGAACAAUGUGUUUAUCCUAAUUGUCUGACUUUGUUAUAUUUCGAAAAUGUACCAUUCUAACAAAAGUUUGAAACACUCUACAAAACGUUUCAGCUUUAAAUAUAGUACGUAUUUACAUUAUAUUACAUAUAUAUACUGAGUGCCAAUGAAAACGCAACACUUUUGUUUUUCCAAAAAAUCUUAUCACUUUUAUUUUAUUUAUAUUAGAACUUUGUAUAGUUGGUUGAAAAUGACUUUUAAGACAAUUGUCGACAAUUUUACGGUUGAGUGAUUUUGGAAGAAAUACGAAGUAAGGGUUAUUUUGAACGGACAUAAACCGUGUUCACCGCUUUUCAACAUACGCACCAUUUUCACGAUUUUGUUAUUUAAAGCUUGGCUAAUGUCAUGAAUUUUCCCGCCCUUAUUGUAAAGAAACUGCAAUAAACAUCUGAGUAAAUGCCAGGACUUUCUGACAACCAGCGACAUGCAGUUUUUGGCAUGAUCCAAUGAAGCCUUUCACAGCAUACAAUUACGAGAAGACUGAAGUUGUACCAUCUACAAUACCCAAAUCAUCCACAAAUUCGACCAAAAUGGAUCAUUUAAUGAUAAGCCACAUCCCUGGAUACAAAAAGCAAGAAACGCUCACCAAGACCGAUACAUUUGGUCUUUAGCAUAUCCGAUAUCGACUCUGAUGGCUGUUCAAAGGUCACGAGAGUUCAAUGGUGGUCACGGUAGAACCUUUGGAGCAAUUUCAGUAAAGCACCAUUUGCGCAGAAAUUGUUAAAGAGCACCACAGUCUUUCCUAAGUGCCAUCUAAACGGCCAUCUGGCGUAAACAUCGAAUUCUGUAGACCGAAAAUCAUUCAAUAUGUACCAAAAACCGUCAGUUGUGGUUACAUAGACAUUUAGCACCCGACUUUUCGCCGGAUUGUGGUCCUAUGGAGCCAUUUUUGCAUCAGAUUUGACAUGGUUUAGACGAUGAAAACCACCACCAAUAUCAAAAAGUCAGCUGAGUUUGCUUUACAGAACAUUCAUCGGGAUCACGUUAAACGUCCAGGAUUAUCAUUCCACGGCGUUGUCGAGAUUGCGCUGCACCACGGGGUUGUAACAUUUUUUUAUUAGGACUGUGAUUUGAUGAUUCGACAUUGGAUGUUUUGUAAACCUAUCGCGCA